rnacentral:rRNA from 1 species
GAUGAACGCUGGCGGCGUGCUUAACACAUGCAAGUCGAACGAGCCUUCGGGCUAGUGGCGGACGGGUGAGUAACGCGUGGGAAUCUGCCCUCAGGAGGGGGAUAACGGCCGGAAACGGCCGCUAAUACCCCAUAUGCCGAGAGGUGAAAUGAAUUUCGCCUGAGGAUGAGCCCGCGUCUGAUUAGCUAGUUGGUGGGGUAAUGGCCCACCAAGGCGACGAUCAGUAGCUGGUCUGAGAGGAUGAUCAGCCACACUGGGACUGAGACACGGCCCAGACUCCUACGGGAGGCAGCAGUGGGGAAUUUUCCGCAAUGGGCGAAAGCCUGACGGAGCAACGCCGCGUGAGGGAUGAAGGCCUCUGGGCUGUAAACCUCUUUUCUCAAGGAAGAAGACAUGACGGUACUUGAGGAAUAAGCCACGGCUAAUUCCGUGCCAGCAGCCGCGGUAAUACGGGAGUGGCAAGCGUUAUCCGGAAUUAUUGGGCGUAAAGCGUCCGCAGGCGGCCUUGUAAGUCUGUCGUUAAAGCGUGGAGCUUAACUCCAUUUCAGCGAUGGAAACUACAAGGCUUGAGUGUGGUAGGGGCAGAGGGAAUUCCCGGUGUAGCGGUGAAAUGCGUAGAUAUCGGGAAGAACACCAGUGGCGAAGGCGCUCUGCUGGGCCAUAACUGACGCUCAUGGACGAAAGCCAGGGGAGCGAAAGGGAUUAGAUACCCCUGUAGUCCUGGCCGUAAACGAUGAACACUAGGUGUCGGGGGAAUCGACCCCCUCGGUGUCGUAGCUAACGCGUUAAGUGUUCCGCCUGGGGAGUACGCACGCAAGUGUGAAACUCAAAGGAAUUGACGGGGGCCCGCACAAGCGGUGGAGUAUGUGGUUUAAUUCGAUGCAACGCGAAGAACCUUACCAGGGUUUGACAUCCUGCGAAUCCCUUGGAAACGAGGGAGUGCCUUCGGGAGCGCAGAGACAGGUGGUGCAUGGCUGUCGUCAGCUCGUGUCGUGAGAUGUUGGGUUAAGUCCCGCAACGAGCGCAACCCACGUCUUUAGUUGCCAGCAUUCAGUUGGGCACUCUAGAGAGACCGCCGGUGAUAAACCGGAGGAAGGUGUGGAUGACGUCAAGUCAUCAUGCCCCUUACAUCCUGGGCUACACACGUACUACAAUGCUACGGACAAAGGGUUGCAAGCUCGCGAGAGUUAGCUAAUCCCAUAAACCGUGGCUCAGUUCAGAUCGUAGGCUGCAACUCGCCUACGUGAAGGAGGAAUCGCUAGUAAUCGCAGGUCAGCAUACUGCGGUGAAUACGUUCCCGGGCCUUGUACACACCGCCCGUCACACCAUGGAAGUUGGCCAUGCCCGAAGUCGUUACUCCAACCCUUGUGGAGGAGGACGCCGAAGGUGGGGCUGAUGACUGGGGUG